CAUGUUGGAUUAGGGCAUAGCCUGGGUUAGAAGCCCAGUGAUGUCGGUAAGAGACCAUGUUGGAUUAGGGCACAGCCUUGUUUAGAAACCCAGUGAGGUCGGCCAUGUUGGUUAGGGCAUAGCCUUGGUUAGAAGCCCAGUGAGGUCGGCCAUGUUGGAUUAGGGCACAGCCUUGUUUAGAAACCCAGUGAGGUCGGCCAUGUUGGAUUAGGGCACAGCCUUGUUUAGAAACCCAGUGAGGUCGGCCAUGUUGGAUUAGGGCACAGCCUUGUUUAGAAACCCAGUGAGGUCGGCCAUGUUGGAUUAGGGCACAGCCUUGUUUAGAAACCCAGUGAGGUCGGCCAUGUUGGAUUAGGGCAUAGCCGUGGUUAGAAGCCCAGUGAGGUCGGCCAUGUUGGAUUAGGGCACAGCCUUGUUUAGAAACCCAGUGAGGUCGGCCAUGUUGGAUUAGGGCACAGCCUUGUUUAGAAACCCAGUGAGGUCGGCCAUGUUGGAUUAGGGCACAGCCUUGUUUAGAAACCCAGUGAGGUCGGCCAUGUUGGAUUAGGGCAUAGCCUUGGUUAGAAGCCCAGUGAGGUCGGCCAUGUUGGAUUAGGGCAUAGCAUUGGUUAGAAGCCCAGUGAGGUCGGCCAUGUUGGAUUAGGGCAUAGCCUUGGUUAGAAGCCCAGUGAGGUCGGCCAUGUUGGAUUAGGGCAUAGCCUUGGUUAGAAGCCCAGUGAGGUCGGCCAUGUUGGAUUAGGGCAUAGCCUUGGUUAGAAGCCCAGUGAGGUCGGCCAUGUUGGAUUAGGGCAUAGCCGUGGUUUGAAACCCAGUGAGGUCGGUGAGAGAAAGAAAGCAGAGUUUAUAACACAGGGAUC